rnacentral:lncRNA from 1 species
AUAGUAACAAUGGGGGAGAAGGGGCAGUUUCUAGAAGGAGAAGGAGGCACUGGAGCAGAUACAAAUAAUUCCUGCCUACAAAAUUCUUCCCUAUCUGUCCUCCUAUCAUAAAAGCGAAAACGGAAACAGAGCACCCAAGAUGAAGAUGCUGUUAGCCUUUGCAGUCUCGACAUAAGUGAGCCUAGUAAUAAACGGGUCAAACCCCUUUCCCGAGUCACGUCGCUAGCAAACCUCAUCCCGCCCGUGAAGGCCACGCCAUUAAAGCGCUUCAGUCAAACCCUGCAGCGCUCCAUUAGCUUCCGCAGUGAGAGCCGCCCUGACAUCCUCGCCCCCCGACCCUGGUCCAGAAAUGCCGCCCCCUCGAGCACGAAACGGAGAGAUAGCAAGCUGUGGAGUGAGACCUUCGAUGUGUGCGUCAAUCAGAUGCUUACAUCCAAGGAAAUCAAACGUCAGGAGGCGAUCUUUGAGCUUUCCCAAGGAGAAGAAGACUUGAUAGAAGACUUGAAAUUAGCAAAAAAGGCCUAUCAUGACCCCAUGCUGAAACUCUCCAUAAUGACAGAACAAGAG